AGCUGUGUGCAGUGGCAGUAUCAUAGCCAAUGAGGUUUAUCUGAGGCUUGAUUAUUGCUAAUCUUGGGCUACCAUAACUGC
rnacentral:snRNA from 1 species